UACGUAGGGGUCGAGCGUUGUCCGGAGUUACUGGGCGUAAAGCGCGCGCAGGUGGCUCAUUGCGCCCGGCGUGAAAGCCCCCGGCCUAACCGGGGAGGGUCGUCGGGGACGGGUGAGCUUGAGGGUAGCAGGGGCUGGUGGAAUUCCCGGUGUAGUGGUGAAAUGCGUAGAGAUCGGGAGGAACACCCGUGGCGAAGGCGGCCAGCUGGGCUACACCUGACACUGAGGCGCGAAGGCGUGGGGAGCGAACGGG
rnacentral:rRNA from 1 species